GUUUCCUCUAAGUAUUAAAUCACCAGAUAAAAAAGAAUCUGUUCCUAUCAGAUUAAUAUUUGUUAUGUCUUGUAACACAGUACUGCAACAUUAAACUCAUUUUUGGUUCAUGACAGAGUGGUCAGAGCGUGUUAUACAUCUGUCACAGGAUGCUUCCUCACAUUUGAAGUCCCUUGAAGUAUCCAAAUACCU